ACAGAGAGCAGUGUACUGUGGGUAGCUAUCCCACUGAGCAGCUGGCCGCAGGGUGCUUUGGAAAGGGUUUGCAAUGCCUUAUGGGGCAGGUACAGUGUCGCAUGAUGCAGGUUUCUCAAUCCCAUCUUUCCAUGGGCAUCCUACUCUUUUUCUUGUCUCUUU